GGGUUUCUCACGGCGCCCUCGGGCCGGUAGAGAAAGGCUCUGCGACAGAAGUUGGGGGUGGGGAGGAGGUUCUCUUCCCUUUCUCCGUUGCGGUGGGCCGCCUCGUGUGUGCUCAGGCCUCACUUUACCUUCUGCCGAAAGCCGACACUGCAUUUUACUGUGUAUUGGUAUAAUCCUAGAGUUCAUGGACACUGCAGAAGAAAGACGACUGCAGUUCUGCACAAUUUCCAUGUAGCAAGAACCCCUCGUGCCGCUGUGGAACACACAACCUGAAUUGUCAGAGAAGGAAAUGGCAACCCACUCCAGUGUUCUUGCCUGGAGAAUCCCAGGGACGGGGGAGCUACAGAGUUGGACACGACUGCAGCGACUCAGCAGCAGCAGCGGGCCAGGUUGCUUUCUGGGCCUCAAUUUCUGGUUUCCAUCAUCUCUGCCUAACAGAGUUCUGAUACCCUUAAAGAUUUACUUCAGAUGUGAAGUUGGCUGAUAUAAUUCCUCCCUCCGCUGGACCCCUCAGUGCUUUAUUUUUCCCUCUCUGUUCUCACUGUCUGCUGUGAGUAUUUGAUCACUCAUUCCAUAAGUGCUUUACAAGCUCUUUUGUGAG